rnacentral:tRNA from 1 species
GGCGUAGCUCAGUUGGUAGAGCAACUGAUUUGUAAUCAGUAGGUCGUAGGUUCAAGUCCUAUUGCC